UUAAAUGUUAGUUGUACACUUAGUACAGUCUAGGACAGGACAUUUAUUUCGUGUCGCUCGAUUUCAGUUGAGAGAGACCACUCCUCAUAUCACUUUAUGUCCGCAUAGAGAUUCUCUUCUUCCCCCCAAAAUAUCCUGUUCAUCUUCUCCUUCGAAGCACAACCAGAUGGAUCCAGGCAAGAGAAGUGAAGUUGCUGUGGAGUCGGGCUAAUGAGAGACACUGCUGCGUAUCAGAAUAGUAAUAUUCAAGACUGCGAUCCGUUGGACAGAUCUAUUGUUGUUGGGUCUGAGAGGACUCCUCUGCGUACUGUGCAUGAGGAAGAAGAUGUGCUGCAUGAAGAUGGUGAUGCGAUAUCGUCUAACAACAGCACCAGAUUAGACUUAGAAAACCAUGAUAUCAAUUCGGACGCUCAUGGCACUAGGAGGCCAAUCUCAUGGAUGUAGAAAGAGAGAAAAACGGUUGGGCGCGAAGGCAAAGGCAUGGAGCAAAGCUGGAUGAAAGGCCAGCGAGUGCCGAACGGAUCACUGCCUUAGAGAGUGCUUUUCGUGGAUUUGCUGAAAGGAAAACUGAAGCUGUUGUGGAUCCUGCAAUUAGACUUACAUUUCAUUCAAUUUUGGAAGCUUAUAAUUUCUACAAUCUGUACUCCUGGGAGUGUUGUUUUGGUAUCAGGUCUGGUAAGAGCAGGAAUAAUGCAUAUAAGCUUCCAAAAUUGAAUGAAAUGUAAGUCCAAUUGCAGGAGCAACAAUGUUAAGGGUGCAAAAUCCUUGCUCCUUCCUCUGCUCGCCGCCGCUCCGGCAUGCUAGCGGGCAAAGCCCGGCCAGCUAGGGCGGCGGCGGGGCCUCUACCUCCCCCGCGCGGCGUUGGAUGGCGCGGGCCAUCUAGGUUGGGCGGCAGCGCGGGGCGGGCUCAGGGCGCGGCGGCGGCUGCUGGCGACGGGGGCGCGGCCUGCAGGCGGCGGCGUGGAGUGACUGGUGCGGGCUGUACUCCCAGCGGUGGCGGCUUUGGGCGCGGCCCAGAUCUGCCGCGGCGGCGGCUCGGGUGGCUUGAGCCCUUGUGGUGGCGGGGCUCAGGUGGCUUGCUCCGAUGCACCCCCCCCCUCCCUACUGCGGCGCUCCCUGGUGGUGGCGGGCCGGUCGGCCCCCGGCAAUUCCGGCGAUGGCAGGUGCCGCGGGCUGUGCUCGGCGUGGAUGUCAGCUGCCUGGCAUGGUGGUGGCUCAUGGCGGUGGUCGGGAUCUCACGGCGGCGGCUGGACUUCUUCGACGUCAGCCCGUCGGUGAGCGACCUGUGCAGGCCUUCGACCCCUCUUCUCGGUGCCCGGGCGCAAUCUUCUUCGCAGGGUUGGCCCGCUCCUAGCUACGGUCCAUCGCUCGUCUCGCGCCCGGUGCUGCAAGACCGAUCUCUUCUUGCGCCCGGCAGCAGGACCGAGCUCGUCUCACGCCUGGCAGCAGGACCGAGCUCGUCUCGCGCACGGUGCCGCGGGACGAGUCGAUGGAGGCCAGACGCUGGGGGACGCUCAGUCUUUUUCGUUGGGGUAGCGGCGGGUCUCGGGUGAGGUGGUGUUUAGGCCUUGGAUGCCGGAGUGGCAGCCCUGGUGGUGGUUGCGCGGUGCUCAUGGGCAGAGCCCGUGGCUCGGUGCUGCCUGGUGACUACGGUCGUGGGGGCAGUGUGGUUGUCGGCAUUCGGUGGCAGUGAGUGUUGGCCGGGGUGAAAACCCGCUCUUUCUUCGGAUGGACCAGCAGCGACGAAGCUCGUUCCCAUCCUAAAGGCGUCGUCUUGGCUCUCAUUGCACGUCGUGUUGUUCCAGGGGAAACUCUGACCCUCGGGUCGGGCGGGGGCGGCGCACCGGUGUCGUUUCCUUCCUGAAGGCGCCUCCUUGGAGCUCCCGGUUCGUCGUAUGUGGCUUCAUCUCUUCGCGGUGGCAUGUUCACGACGGAGGACCCCGGUGGCUAUUGUAGUGCUAGGGGAGGUGUUGCUGCGUUCAGCAUCUAUGUAUCCUGCCUUGGGUGUGUGCGUGUGUUGUGGUGGCGUGCGUUUGUACCGAGUUGCUGUGGAUCAUGGCUUUAUAUAUAAAGCGGGGCGGAAGCCUUUUUCGGUAAAUCAAUGCAAGAAUUCCUAUGCAACUGCGCUGUGAGUACAUUUUGUCUCACAUUUCUCCUCGUUUCAAUAUAUAUUUUUUCUAAUGACAGAGUUGUAUAUAUUGUUUCAAUAUUUUUAGACAAUUUCCUUUUUCAUUUUAUCAGGGUAAGCCAAUUAAACAAAACACAUCAUCUAUUUGUACAGAGUGCCCUUCAAUGAUUUAGACUACUAAGAACGGAUGAUAACGGUUGGUUCGUAUGUUAAGAGGAAGGAGAUGGAGUGACUUGAAAUGAGGAGCAGCAACACGGUGUAGUUAAAUACAUGGGUGUGGGGCUUGCGGGUGGAAGAUGGUGCAGAGAGUGGUGUCUCUGGAAUUCGGGCACGUUGUGCUCAACAUUCAUUUAUGGGAGUGGACUGGAAAUGAAAACAACAUAACUGAAUUUUAGAGAGCAGUUAUGAUUUGAGACAAGAAUGUUAUUUCAUAGAAAACUUGGGAGCAUAAUUCAGUGGGAAAAGCAAGCUGGAUGCAAGUUGUAGUUAAAACAAAAGUUGGUUGCAAGAUUGCAGAGAACAAAACAUAAUGGAGAAAAAAAUGUAGAUAAGAUGUGAAAUAAGCCAAAGAUUACCAGGUGGCGAUGAUAACAUU